UGCUGUUUGUCCCCUUUUGUCCCGUCCGUGCCUGGGUGCGCAGGCGUGUCGUGUACACGUCUUCGAAUGUCCGAAACUUACUGUGCCCGCGCGGGAGUGGAAGGACGCGUGGUCCCUGCAGAACCCCUUGCCGCCCUCCAUUCCCGCCCUGAUGGGCCGCGGGUUCAUCCUAAAAGGCGGCUUCCGUAGCGAAUCUGGUUGUCGUGGCCAUUGUGCUUUUCACUCAGCCGCAGGGAUGGUCUCCCUUCUGAACCCGGGACACUUCGGGCCACGGAUGGAGUCCACUCACUCAGCAACUUGCUUUGACCACCGAUUUUCGAGGUCGCGUUGUAGUGGGUCACUGACCCAGGCCUGCAUAUAAAGUCCACUAAGGAUGCAGUCUGAUCCAGCCAUGUCCCUUUGAAGCGUGAAGGCCCCUGUGCUACAGCUCUAUGGAUGGCCUGGGGAGAGGAACCAUCCCCUUGUCCACUCUACUUCUGUAAACAUGCUGCCCACUUGAGAAUCCUCACCUACAACCAUGUACAGUUCUUCAAAACCUUGUGCCCAAUCAUGUACCAUUUCAGGCUAGAACAGUGAUGACACUAGAUAGCCUUUUAUAAAUGUGUGCAAAACUGGUCAGGGGCGCUCAGACUGGAGUGCUGCUCUCCUCUGGGCCGCAGGCUGCUUCUCGCCAGAUUCCUGUGGCCACCUUUCCCAUGCCUUAGACCAUCUACUUCUUUAUCCCAUGAUGCCCCUGAGCCCCUCCUUGGGGAGGCGGAUUGGAGACUUGGGUCUCCUGUCUCCUCAUGCUUGGCUGCCUUGUGAAUAAACCCUUCCUGUUCUGCAGAACUUGUUUCAGUGAUUGACAGCAUGAGCCAAGGUCACGCAGACAGAAUCCAGACACACUGCCUGCUGACUCGAGUUCACCCCACCUACUGAAGCCAGAAUUAAGGACAGGUAGUUAGUGUAGAAAUAGGGGAUCGGGUCAAAUCGAGGAAAUGGAGGCCAUGAGGUCAUCUGCCUCUGGAAGU